rnacentral:ncRNA from 1 species
UAAAAUCAUUGCAAUGGAGUUCUGCUCUCUUUUGGUUGUGACCAAAAGAAAAACUGUCCCCAGGACUAAUGACUCCUACCCAUAU